rnacentral:misc_RNA from 1 species
ACAAACUUGGUCAUUUAGAGGAAGUAAAAGUCGUAACAAGGUUUCCGUAGGUGAACCUGCGGAAGGAUCAUUACUGAAUGUCGCCUUGAUGGGUUGUUGCUGGCUCUGAAAACCAGAGCAGGUGCACGCCUGUCUUGACUUCUAUUCAUCCACCUGUGCACCUUUUGUAGUCUUUUUGGGGGCUGGGGAAAGCGGCGGCUCAGGCUGCUUGUUGGAACCUCCCACUGGAGGCUAUGUUUUUUCUACAUAUACCAUUUAGAAUGUAACAGAAUGUUGUCAAUGGGCACUUGUGCCUAUAUAAAAUCUAUACAACUUUCAGCAACGGAUCUCUUGGCUCUCGCAUCGAUGAAGAACGCAGC